UAAGGAAUAUUGGACAAUGGGCGAGAGCCUGAUCCAGCCAUGCCGCGUGCAGGAAGAAGGCCCUAUGGGUCGUAAACUGCUUUUGAACGAGAGAAAACCCGGGUACGUGUACCCGGCUGAUAGUAUCGUUAGAAUAAGCAUCGGCUAACUUCGUGCCAGCAGCCGCGGUAAGACGAAGGAUGCAAGCGUUAUCCGGAUUCAUUGGGUUUAAAGGGAGCGUAGGCGGACUUAUAAGUCAGUGGUGAAAUCUUCGAGCUUAACUCGGAAACUGCCAUUGAUACUGUAGGUCUAGAGUACAGUUGCCGUUGGCGGAAUAUGACAUGUAGUGGUGAAAUACUUAGAUAUGUCAUAGAACACCGAUUGCGAAGGCAGCUAACGAAGCUGUAACUGACGCUGAGGCUCGAAAGUGCGGGGAUCAAACAGG
rnacentral:rRNA from 1 species